GGGGCUCUUAAAUCUAAUGGGCGAAUAUCAAAAUCCAAAGGGCUAGGGUGGAAGAAGCUGGCCUCAGAUUGAUAACCAUAAGUGACACUGAGAAAGAAGGCCCCUGUUGGAAGAGUUUCCUGAAGAAUGUGUGAGCAUGAAAUGUUGGCAGCUUUUGAAAAGGUGGGAAGCUAUGAAGAAGUACAUUUCCCAUAUGGCUUUUAGGAUACACUGUGGCUUGAUGAGGGAAAGCAAUAUGGAUACCCCUGAAAAAGUCCUUUGGGGUCUGCACAGCAAAAUCCCAGUGGAUCCUAGUCACAAAGUCUCUCUAGACAGUCACAAAGAAGGUGUGAAUUUUUU
rnacentral:lncRNA from 1 species